ACUACGUGAGGCAGCAGUGAGGAAUAUUGGUCAAUGGACGGAAGUCUGAACCAGCCAUGCCGCGUGCAGGAAGACGGCUCUAUGAGUUGUAAACUGCUUUUGUACAAGGGUAAACCUGAAUACGUGUAUUCAGCUGAAAGUACUGUACGAAUAAGGAUCGGCUAACUCCGUGCCAGCAGCCGCGGUAAUACGGAGGAUCCAAGCGUUAUCCGGAUUUAUUGGGUUGAAAGGGUGCGUAGGCGGAUUGAUAAGUUAGAGGUGAAAUGUCCGAGCUUAACUCGGGAACUGCCUCUAAUACUGUUGAUCUAGAGAGUAGAUGCGGUAGGCGGAAUGUAUGGUGUAGCGGUGACAUGCUUAGAGAUCAUACAGAACACCGAUUGCGAAGGCAGCUUACCAAUCUAUAUCUGACGUUGAGGCACGAAAGCGUGGGGAGCAAACAGGAUUAGAUACCCGUGUAGUC
rnacentral:rRNA from 1 species